rnacentral:tRNA from 1 species
CCCUGAUAACUCAGUUGGUAAAGAAUCUGCCUGCAAUGCAGAAGACCCUGGUUCAAUUCCUGGAUCCGGAA